rnacentral:tRNA from 1 species
GACAGUCAGUCAUAGCUCAGUUGGUUAGAGCGUCGCACCGGUAUCGCGAGGUCACGGGUUCAACGCCCGUUGAAGUCC